GAAAUUAAAGCUUUAGCUCAACAUAAACAUAUAUGUAUGUCGGUUUUCAAAGCACGAAGAGUAAUUGAUCAGAUUCGUGGACGCUCCUAUGAAGAAGCACUUAUGAUACUAGAACUUAUGCCUUAUCGAGCAUCUUAUCCCAUUUUGAAAUUAGUUUUUUCCGCGGCAGCAAAUGCUAGUAAUAACAUGGGCUUAAACAAAGCUUAU
rnacentral:misc_RNA from 1 species